rnacentral:rRNA from 1 species
AUUGAACGCUGGCGGCAGGCCUAACACAUGCAAGUCGAGCGGUAGAGAGGUGCUUGCAUCUCUUGAGAGCGGCGGACGUGUGAGUAAUGCCUAGGAAUCUGCCUAGUGGUGGGGGAUAACGUUCGGAAACGGACGCUAAUACCGCAUACGUCCUACGGGAGAAAGCGGGGGAUCUUCGGACCUCGCGCCAUUAGAUGAGCCUAGGUCGGAUUAGCUAGUUGGUGAGGUAAUGGCUCACCAAGGCGACGAUCCGUAACUGGUCUGAGAGGAUGAUCAGUCACACUGGAACUGAGACACGGUCCAGACUCCUACGGGAGGCAGCAGUGGGAAUAUUGGACAAUGGGCGAAAGCCUGAUCAGCCAUG